rnacentral:misc_RNA from 1 species
GGUUGGUGGUCAAAUGACCCCCAUUAUGAACUAAUCCAACCUUUGAUCACCAGCUCAUUGAAACCAAACUCAGUCCCACAUCCUAAUAAUUAGCCAAAAUAACAAAAGAAAAACUCAGAAUUACUAACUCAAGGUUAAACUAAGUUGUUCUUAGAUGAAAAAAUAAAAUGGCAGCAUUUAUUUUAAGACUUGAAUGAUUCUAGUUCAGCUCGUC